AACGUAGGUCACAAGCGUUGUCCGGAAUUACUGGGUGUAAAGGGAGCGCAGGCGGGAAGGCAAGUUGGAAGUGAAAUCCAUGGGCUCAACCCAUGAACUGCUUUCAAAACUUUUUUUCUUGAGUAGUGCAGAGGUAGGCGGAAUUCCCGGUGUAGCGGUGGAAUGCGUAGAUAUCGGGAGGAACACCAGUGGCGAAGGCGGCCUACUGGGCACCAACUGACGCUGAGGCUCGAAAGUGUGGGUAGCAAACAGG
rnacentral:rRNA from 1 species